GUGCUUGCUUUGGCAGCACAUACACUAAAAUUGGAAUUAUAUAGAGAAGAUUAGCAUGGCCCCUGUGCAAGGACGACACGCAAAUUUGUGAAGGGUUCCAUAUUUAG